CCUACGGGUGGCAGCAGUGGGGGAUAUUGCACAAUGGAGGGAACUCUGAUGCAGCGACGCCGCGUGAGGGAAGAAGGUUUUCGGAUUGUAAACCUCUGUCUUCGGUGACGAAACGAGACGGUAGCCGAGGAGGAAGCCACGUCUAACUACGUCCCAGCAGCCGCGGUAAUACGUAGGUGGCAAGCGUUGUCCGGAAUUACUGGGUGUAAGGGGAGCGUAGGCGGGAAAGCAAGUUGAAGGUGUAAGGUAGGGGCUAAACCUGUAAAAGCGUUCAAAACUGUUUGUCUUGAGUGGAGUAGGGGUAAGCGGAAUUCCUAGUGUAGCGGUGAAAUGCGUAAAGAUUAGGAGGAACACCAGUGGCGAAGGCGGCUUACUGGGCUGUAACUGACGCUGAGGCUCGAAAGCGUGGGUAGCAAACAGGAUUAGAUACCCGGGUAGUC
rnacentral:rRNA from 1 species